AAAAAAUGCGCAUACAAUUUAAAAUUAUAACUUUAAAACACUGAUUUACCGAGAAUGAAUCGACAAAUUUUAUCAAUCGUUAAUAUUUUUUUUUUCCUCUCUUUUUUCCCUUCCGCGAUUUUCAAAUUACUUCGAACGAUCCCUUAACGUUGAAAUAAUUUUUAUCAAAAUAUUAAAUACUUAAACACCACUUUCGAAUAAAUCGAUUCGUUGAUCGCCACGAUCCCAUGUGGAGUAGCAUAAUAGUGAUAUCAUUGAUCUCGCAAAGUAUAACGUUCCAAAAAAAUAAACAAAUAAAUAACAAUAAUCGUCCAGGCGGAACGAUCGGGUUACGCGUUUCAAUGGGCGAUCUUUCUUACUGAGAAAUUUAUAAUAAACGUUAUCGGUGUCCGACGAUCUCGUUCCUUUUUCAGAAUAUUGCAUUGGAUAAUGUUUCGUGAUGAUUCAUCAACCUUGAAGCGAUCUCGUUCAAUGCCCGUCGUCCGUCCGCGCUUCAGAUGAAAUUCGCAUUGUUAACGGCUUCGCGAUGUUCGCGGUAAAAAGAGAGAGAGAGAGAGAGAGAGAUUCGGUUUCGUUUCCUUUUCAUUGUUAACAUUGUUACAACUCGUCAAAAAGAAGAAAAAAAGAAAAAAGAAAGUCUGUUCUUGAGGGGUAAUGAUAGUUGUUCAAAAAUAAUAAAUGUUCCAAAAAGUAAAUUGAGAGAGAGAGAGAGAGAGAGAGAAAGAGAGAAGAGAGCUUUCACGAAAGUCGAUCGUGAAGAAAGUUCGAUCGUGCCUUCUAUUUCGUAGCGGCAUGGUUACGCCUUCGUUUUGGCGAACGAUCCCGCAAAUGAUCGCGGUUCCAUCAGACGCAAAAGUCAUACGUUAGGUUACGUCAUUUUGUUCCAGAAGAUAGCGGACGUUUGCUUCCGCCAUUUCUUACUUUCUCUUUGUCUCUCUCUCUCUCUCUCUCUCUAUCUUUUUCUCUGUCCUCUUAACCAUCUUUCUUUCUUCCCUCCAUGUUCCACAAAUUAGCCGUUAUCUGUUUUAAAAGGAUUACAAAACGAUUGUUCUUUGACGUCGUAAAUGCGAUACGCAGCUUUCGAUUUAAGAGAAAAUGUGUUGCAACAACCGUGAAAUAUUUAUCCGCUUUAAGCCAUUUGCAUGGGUACAUGGUUGAAUGGCCCGCCAUGUUUGCUUCUGCUGUAUCAUAUAAUGGAAUAUUCCAUCGAAAUUUGCGAAGAAUUAUUACUGCGACUGAUCUAUUAUGAUUUUAUAAUGCAAAAGAU